CUACCUGUCAUUAGGGAACAAGUGCCGCUGGUCAACUGCCGGCGGCUUGAUAGUACCUGAAGAGGAAGAGACGGCUAACUCUGUGC
rnacentral:rRNA from 1 species